AGUGAACGCUGGCGGUAGGCCUAACACAUGCAAGUCGAACGGCAGCACAGUAAGAGCUUGCUCUUACGGGUGGCGAGUGGCGGACGGGUGAGGAAUACAUCGGAAUCUACUUUUUCGUGGGGGAUAACGUAGGGAAACUUACGCUAAUACCGCAUACGACCUACGGGUGAAAGCAGGGGAUCUUCGGACCUUGCGCGAUUGAAUGAGCCGAUGUCGGAUUAGCUAGUUGGCGGGGUAAAGGCCCACCAAGGCGACGAUCCGUAGCUGGUCUGAGAGGAUGAUCAGCCACACUAGAACUGAGACACGGUCCAGACUCCUACGGGAGGCAGCAGUGGGGAAUAUUGGACAAAGGGCGCAAGCCUGAUCCAGCCAUACCGCGUGGGUGAAGAAGGCCUUCGGGUUGUAAAGCCCUUUUGUUUGGAAAGAAAAGCAGCAGGUUAAUACCCCGCUGUUCUGACGGUACCCAAAGAAUAAGCACCGGCUAACUUCGUG
rnacentral:rRNA from 1 species